UAGAACACUUUGAAUUUGGAGCGAUCUGAUUCGACGACAAAUCCAUCUUUCCGCGUCAGAAAAGGCUUCGUCUGGCCAGUAGUUGUUUAUGACAGCUAUCGGCCAUUGCCGAUUUCGUACUAGACGAAAGCCUCAAAAUACUAAUUCGCUUUCAUUAUUUAAAUGGUGUUUUCAGUUCUAUUAAACGAUUCUGUUUUCAGGAGUGAUGUUGACCCAUACAAUCCUCAACAUGAACAGUCUGCUGCGUCUGUUUUGGGUUCCCUGAUCCAAGAACUUGAGUCCAAGGCCCAGAUUUUAACCACAGAAGAAUUUUUUCUAACAAAAAUUAAUCUUCAAGGUUGUUUCUGAGAUUUUUCGACAACGGUACAACCAAAAUCCCCUUGCCCUGCUGAGAAUCAGUCGACAUUGUUUGUGUUCAUUGGAUCGAGUCAUACGCUGUCCGUUAUUCCAGUGAUGGAGAGACCUGGUUCACUGUACUCAACGACGACAGUACUCAGCGUGUGGUCCAUGGCAACAUGGACGUCAAUACGCAAACCACGAACGAGAUGAUCGUUGUUCCAUAACCAGCAGUGCUGCCACUUCUGAAAUAGCAAAGUCGUGCAGGGUUGCCUAAAAAGUCCCGAAAAUCCGUUUUUUUUUUUUGAAAAAUCCUGCACUUUAUCUUGCACGAUUUUCUUCAAAAUCCCGCAAAAAUCUUGCAAAAAAAAAAACCCCGCAUGAAUCCGACACGAUCCAACAUAAUUUCCUAGUUAUCCUUAUUUGAAGUCUUUUCUUGUCAGACAGGUAAAACAUUAUUUUGAUACUGUUGACCGACAGUUAAAAGCUACACAGCAGCUCGGUAGGAUGCUUAUUUUAGUCCUAUUUUAGCACUUUAAGAUUACUUAACACGUUACGCUUUUUGGUAAGAAUUAUAAACAAACUGAAAAGCAAAAUUUCAUGCUUCUUCGA